AUGAAUAAUAACCGAACUUGCUCUUCUUUGAGCAAUUUGGCUCAGGGCGCAGAUUUCUGCCUUUCCCACUCUCAGGCUCGAACCCCGUCCAGCCGGCUUCGGCAAAGCACGUGUACAAACUGCUCCGUUAAAAAUAAAAGACCCCCCUUCCUCUUGCUGAUGACCGGGUUCCUGUUUGAUCCUGUUUACAAGCUUCCCAAGACUGAAAAUAACCCCAGCUCCUCUGCACUGGCGCUUGGAAGCAGAAGGAAGCAAAGAGGAGUUGAGAACUGAAGCUGGGAGACUUGGCAGCUAAUUCAGAGGCACAAUUGUGUGAGCAGCCCCUUGGCAAGAGGACCCAGUGCAGCCUGUGACAGAACUGAGUGGAGAUGAUCCCAAGCUGAGAGUCACAACAGGAUCUGCUUUGAGUUCACCCAGCGACCUGCAGGCUCAUCCAGCACCCAGCACAGGUAAGAGAUCUCCACAGAACCUGCAUUCCCCAGGUGUUGUAGCAUCCCAGCCAUAACCCCUGCUCUGCAGUGC
rnacentral:lncRNA from 1 species